CAGGUGUUCUUAUUCUGCUACCACUCCAAUUGGAUGGUUCAGAUAACCAUAUUCCGAAGGGUUUUUCCAACACUGUAAGCUGUUCUUCAUCUUACUAGAUAUUCAGCAUCACCGUAACCUCCUACUGCCCUGUGUUAAACAGGCCUUUGAGAUGAUUGCUUAAGCAGGUAUCUCCAUGUCUCCUUAUUUCUUUCCUUGCGUGUUCCUUCAAAAAAAUUUUUUUGUAGAAAAAUAUAACCAGAGGUGUAAGUAUUUUCUUUCCCCUGCCAAGCUGCAAUUUGAAAUAGCGGCAGGCCAAAAGUAGUUACGUAUGUGGAUUUGUCUCUGCUUUCUCUGCAACUUUUAUAAACAGAUCAGUUCAGUAGUUCAGUAUAAUUCAUGGGAGGAUGGGAAACUAAUUUGCUUAUUAUAAAUGGACUUGACCUGGAUAACAAACGAAUUAAAAAUAACAAUAAACAAGAUAACUGUAUCACUUCUUUCCAGAGUUUUGUAUUAUUGGGGGAGCUGUGUUGGCCAGCCAUACAGAGAAAAUACUAGUCAGGCUAUAGUAUUGCUGGAUUCAUUAUAUUUGGAGCAAGUAAACUAUGAAAAAUUCUACACCACCUUCACCACAACUCAGCAUUAAAACAGCUGCAAAAGUGAGGUGACAGUGAAUUAUGGAGAUAAGUAUAUUUUGUCAAUUUUUAAUACUUCUUAGUAAUCAUUUAUGAUUUACUAAAAAAGCAAACCCUGUAGUAUACAGUAUUACAUUUGAUCUGCCUUGUCUUAUAUAAGUAUGAUUUUAUUUGUAAGCCCUUCAUUUUUUGCUUUUUAUUCUAUCCCUGUUAAUUUUUUUCUCAAACCUGUCUAUUCUGUCUCUGUAGUGGAUAGUUACUAAUUUCUUGCAUUGUAUCAUUUACUUAACGAACGGCAGCAUUAUUUCCCUUUAAGGAAUUUCCUCUCCCUUGUUUGGUGCAAGUCUCGGAGGAUGAUAAAUCAAUAUAUUCUUAUCUUCUAACAAAGAUGUGGAAAAGAUCUCUAUGGGCUUCUUAUACUGAAGCACUUCAUGUACUGCCUUGGUAUAACCAAGAGCCAGGACAUGACCAAAUCUCCUGCAAUCUUGAAUCUUGAACAAGGAUGAGAACAAGGAUGAAGCUAGAGUCACCUUUCUUGCAUUUAUUACAGGGGUGACACCAGGUAAAACUAUAAUAAUUUUCCUUCAACAAGACCUCUGGAACUUCCUGUUCCUUUGUGUGAUCUUCAGUCUUUCCUUUGACCUUGGGAGCUCUGCCAUAUCUUGUCAUUAAAUUCCAUUUUUGUUGAAGUUGGUUUGAGUCCAUUUCUGUUGCUUGCAGUGAAGAAAUUGUAGUUAAUAUGAUUCUUGACCCCAUUUUCUUUUCCUUUAUCAUUGUUUUUUUUUUUUUUCCCUGACCACUCUGGCUUGCAUUUCAUUCCAUUUUGUUGACUCAUUAUCUUCUUGAAUCCUUAAACUUUGUUGUUUAUUUUUUUUCAAGAGACCAUAAUUUCUUUGAUUUCAUGGAGAUGGGUUUGUUCAUUUUUAAUUUUUUUUGUGGGUAUAGUUUUUCUAAUGUAUAUUUUUCAUUUGUCUUUGUUACAACUUUUCCCUGCAUUAUCUAGUGCAAGUCCCAGUCACGUUCCUAUCUGGUUGUUCAUCUUUGAGUGGGGCCAUUUUUUUUGGGUCAGCUCGUUAGGCUGCUGGAUAUUGAAGAGUAGGUACCAUGUGAAUGAGCAGGAACAGUAGACAGCUUAGAUUUUAGUCUACUUAGUGCUUUCUCACCAACACUAUGCCAUGACAGUAGGUUUCAUGUUGGUCAGGCUGGUCUUGAACUCCUGACCUCAAGUGAUCCACCCACCUCGGCCUCCCAAAGUGCUGGGAUUACAGGCGUGAGCCACUAUGCCUGGCCAGCACCCAAAGGUUUUCUUUGGAUUUUCUCUACCUCUUGUUAUUUGCAUGGGUUGCUCCAUUGCCUCAGGUUUCUGCUCAAAUGAUAUCAUACGAGAGAAGAAUUUCCGACUUCCCUGUUGAAAAUAACUCCUUCAACCCCUCUGCCUGUAAUCUCUGUCCCCUUACCUUGCUUUAUAUUUACUCACAGAUCUUACAUUUUUGCAGGUUAUGUUUACUUUUCUGCAUGAUUUUCUGCUGGAGUAUGAGCUCCAAGAAGACAAACAUAUUGCCAUUUUGUUUAUUCCUAUGUCCUCAGCUCCGGACAUAAUGAUAAAGUUGGCGUACAGUGAAAGCAGCACUUUAAAAUUGAGAAGUGUUGUUUCUAUUAUCAGAGGAGUUGCCUAGUUAAAGGGAAUGUCACCCCUUUUUCAUCAUGCUUCCUGCUGUGCCAUUGAAAAAUGCAUUUUGGGAAAUUAUAUCUAAAUUGAGUACUAUUCAAUAAUUCCCAUAAAGUGCAACUCCAAAGAUACUUCUCAAGGACACAGACUCUUGUCCCGGCUUAGAACUCUUCAGGAGGGAAGUAGAAAUUAAGUGAACUCCAUGUUUAAAGUAUUUUCAAAGGAUUGCCUGCAGAGUAAUCAGGGACAACAGGUCACCACGGAUUAGUCUCCAGUUACACUCAACCCACCCCCACUAAGGUAAAUGAAACACAGCAAAGAGCCAUUUCCUUCCUCAAAGUCAAGAUUUGCUUUAUUGGGGAUUAUUUUUAUAUCUUUUACAGGCUUAUGAGUAGAAUUUAAAUUCAGAGAAUUGCUUUUAUCCCAUUCAUUAAAGAAUCACUGGAUUUUAAAGACUUUUUUAAAAAGACUAGAAAACUUUGGCCUUAAAUUCAUGUACCUUUUCAAUAAUUCAGGUCAUUCUUAGUGAGAUAUGUCAAUUAAGUGACCCCAAUACAAUUUUCUCAAAAAGAACAGCAAUGCACUUUUAUAUUUUCAGGGGAAUAGUCUGAAAAUGUUAGUUCUCUUGUUAAGUUUAGUUCACCUAUCCCUUUCCUUCAGAUAAGUCUUUUCAAAUUCCAAUGCCUUGCACAUAUAUAUUGAUAUAAUAGGCCUUUUUUCCAGGAUCUUUCCAACGUGUCUCAUAGUGAUCCUGCGUUAAACAGACGGGGGCCACACACUUUGCUAAGUGGAUGAGACACAGGGCUUUAAUGAUGUGGCCCGUGUUCAGGCCAAAAGCUGAAGAUGAGACCAUCCUCAGCUUUUGAUCAGACCAUGGCUAAUACUCUUAGAGGCAGACCCCACUUCUUUCCUUUGGAUGCACACUGCCCUAAUCCAGGCUUCAGGGGCAAGGGAAUAAAAGGUAAUUAUAAUAUUUCAUUUACUGCCUGCCUUCAGGGAUUAACAUGGAAGUCCAAUGCAAUUACAUGGUGACAGUGAUGAAGACUGAAGUCGGUGGAGCUGCCUGUCUUGGCCACAUAAAGCAGGUCAUCCAGUUACCGCUGGACAGCAAUUUCCAGAAAAUCCUGUAAUUAGGUUGUGAAACGGUGGCAAAAAGGAUGAACUGAGGAGGCAGAUGUGCGGCCCAAAGUAAUUUGGUUUCUACUAAAAUGUGCUGCAACCCACAUCCUUCCUAUUUAUUAAAGCCCUAUAAUAUACCAUGUUACACCAUUAUGGAGGGUAAUGGGGAGUCAGGCACUUAACUGUAAUGAAAUUAGAUUCCCCCUUGCCUGCACCAGAGGCACAGUGACAUUUUCUUGUAAAAGCUGUGAAAGUGGUUUCUUAAAAAUAGGCUUGACAAAGAAACACUGAAAUCCUUUUUACCAUAAAGAAUAAAAAAGCUGAAAGCUGAUGAGUUUGGACACUUUAUUAUCCCCUUGUCCUGCCUGCUUUUAAUUUGAAGCUGUUGUAAAGCCAGACAGGUAGAAGAGUAGAAACCACAGUCAAUGAACCUUCAUGUUUUAUCAGUCGACAAAAAGAAGGAGAUUGUUUUCUUGUUUCUAGGAAGUGAACAGCAACAAACAAUAAUGAUCCUGCUGCGCAAUUACGGCCCUGACUUCUUGUAUUUUCUUGAAUUUGCAAUGUCUUUUCCUACUUCCUUUUAAAGCAUGGAUAGGGAAGAAGGCAAAAAAAGUGAAAAGGCUGGAAAAUAAGUACCCAUAUAAUGAGAUGUUUGAAAAUAAUUUGCAGGUUUGUGGGGAAAAAUGCUGUAUGUGGAAAGUUAUACUAAAACAAUUUUUCUCUGUUUCUCACUAUUUUUUUAUUGUCCAUUUUAUCAAAUUCUGAUUUGACUUGUGCUUUUGAGCUGGCUUUAAUUUCAGAUGUGAGUUGUUCCAGUCACUCGUUGCAUUAAGAUAAUGUCAGGAAUCAUCAAGUUGUCAGAAGAAGAAUAGUAAAUCAUCAUUUAUUUAAGAAUCAGCAAGAAGGACCAACUACGCUGAUGAGAAACUGAAAAUCAUUGAGGAUAACAAUGCAACUGAUGAAGCUGUUUUCAAUAGAUGGCUGGCAUUGUUUUAGAAACCAUAGCCCUUGAAGAGAGAGGUCAACUGUCCUUCACAAGCAGUACAGUGUGGAGCGCUGGCCUGGACAACUGGGAAGAAAAUGCAGUAUGGACCUGGCCCUUCAGAGACCCAGCCUGGAAACAAGUUGACAUAUGUCGAUUGCACCAUAGACAGUGGGACGUUUUCUGCAUAUUGACAUCCAGGCCUCUCUAAAGAAGAAGAGAGGCACUUAGCAACAACACAGAAUCUUCAUCAUUCAAGCUCCAGGGUGCAACAGGAGCCCAUGGCCUUGGGAAACAGCUGUGCAAAAACGAAAUGUUACAUGCUGAGGAAAUUCUGGGUGUUGGUAGAAAUUGUAUUAAUGUGGCCAGUGAUAGAAUCUAGUCUUUUAAAAAGCAAAUACUUAAGGGCUGAAAACUCUUGAGGGAAAUCUAUGAUUUACAUUCAGAGACCCUUAGACGUGGCCUGAGAUCAGCCAGGAGAACUGAGAAAUCAGAAGUUCCAAUGAGCUCUCAUGACCUUGACUGACUGAUUAGAACACGGAAACUGGUCAUUCUUUCUCAAGCUGCAGUCAUUUCUGUAGUCUUCUCACAACUCCUAUUGCAUCCCGUAGGAUUUGAACUAUUUAUUAUUUACUUAAUUCUUUCUUUAAACUUAAAUUAAUUGAGUUUCAUCAUGAGCAAAAUACCCCUGAAACUAUUAUUAUGUAUAUAUAUCUUUCCAUUACAAUCAAAAUAAAUACAAAAUAUUAAAAAUAAAAACUGUGUAUUUCUACCACUUAGACAAACUUAAGCACCACAGUGGUAUGUGAACCACAUUUUAGGAAAACUAUUUGUAAAACCAUUCUCUGUGUGUUUCUUUUUUUUUUUCACCUCAAAGUUCUCAGGAUCCUGACUAGCUUUCCACUUGCAUAAUUCGCUCUCUUCAGAUGGGCUCUUUUGCUUUUUGUUUUAAAUAAAACAUAGCUUUGCUUGAACUUAGAUGAUGGAUUCCUUUAAAUUCUGUCUGUAGAAGAAAGCUCAGUAAGGCAUCAGUCACUUUUUGUAAAAAGGUGUUCUAGAUUUACUGAGGCAUCUUUCCCAAGUCAAUUUCAUAAAUAUUAUUUU